UACGUAGGGGGCAAGCGUUGUCCGGAAUCAUUGGGCGUAAAGCGCGUGUAGGCGGCCCGGUAAGUCCGCUGUGAAAGUCCAGGGCUCAACCCUGGGAUGCCGGUGGAUACUGUCGGGCUCGAGUCCGGAAGAGGAGUGUGGAAUUCCUGGUGUAGCGGUGAAAUGCGCAGAUAUCAGGAGGAACACCGAUGGCGAAGGCAGGUCUCUGGGCCACUACUGACGCUGAGAAGCGAAAGCAUGGGGAGCGAACAGG
rnacentral:rRNA from 1 species